CGACUUCCCCCUUUGAUUUAUUAUAGCCAUGAAAUGCUCUGCUCUCUUCUCUUUUCCUUGCUGUCCCCGGGGCUAGAGGAGCACAGACCUUCCCAGGCCCCGGCCCCGGCCUCGCUGGACUCCCGUCUCCGGGCCUGGGUUGAGCCCAGGGGGCCAGAAACUCGAGGCGCCGGACUUGCUGCCGUCGGUGUGGAAACAGGGGCAGCUGCACCCUGGGCGGCUCCGGGCCGGGCGCCCCGGCUCUGCCCAGAGGAGCCCGAGAGGGCCCGCCGCCGCCCCGAGCCCGGGGCCGGGCCAGACGGCCCGAGUUACCCCCCGCCCCAGGCCUCCGUCUUCCCCACCCCAGCAGCUUCCGCCAAGAGGAAGGAGUCAGGCAGGGCUGUUACUCAAGGCUGAGCAGGUGGCCCCCAAGGUCAGAGCCCCCGGGGUGAGCGCUCGAGGCCGGCGCAGGGCACGUGGCCUCGGGCUCAGCUCUGUCCCAAGUUCACGGGGUGGCUUGGCUGCCCCGGGCUCACUCGAGGCCUUGGUCUUCUCUUUUGCGUUGUAAUCAUGGCACCAGCGACCUUAAAGUUCUUCAUCCAUUUCUGCUC